rnacentral:rRNA from 1 species
AGUGAACGCUGGCGGUAGGCCUAACACAUGCAAGUCGAACGGCAGCACAGUAAGAGCUUGCUCUUACGGGUGGCGAGUGGCGGACGGGUGAGGAAUACAUCGGAAUCUACUUUUUCGUGGGGGAUAACGUAGGGAAACUUACGCUAAUACCGCAUACGACCUACGGGUGAAAGCAGGGGAUCUUCGGACCUUGCGCGAUUGAAUGAGCCGAUGUCGGAUUAGCUAGUUGGCGGGGUAAAGGCCCACCAAGGCGACGAUCCGUAGCUGGUCUGAGAGGAUGGUCAGCCACACUGGAACAGAGACACGGUCCAGACUCCUACGGGAGGAAGCAGUCGGGAAUAUUGGACGAUGGGGGCAAGCCUGAUCCAGCCAUACCGCGUAGGUGAAGAAGGCCUUCGGGUUGUAAAGCCCUUUUGUUGGGAAAGAAAAGCAGCAGGUUAAUACCCCGCUGUUCUGACGGUACCCAAAGAAUAAGCACCGGCUAACUUCGUG